rnacentral:rRNA from 1 species
UACGUAGGGGGCAAGCGGUGUCCGGAUUUACUGGGCGGAGAGGGCGCGUAGGCGGUUUGAUAAGUGGAAGGGGAAAGAUUCGAGCUCAACUCGAAAACUGCCUUCUAAACUGUCUUACUUGAGGGUCUGAGGGGAAACUGGAAUUCACGGUGUAGCGGUGAAAUGCGUAGAUAUCUGGAGGAACACCGGUGGCGAAGGCAGCACUCUGGGACGGUACUGACGCUGAGACGCGAAAGCGUGGGGAGCAAACAGG